rnacentral:misc_RNA from 1 species
AACCUUAUGGACCUGCGGGCGUAUACCUGCGGAGGGAUCAUUACCGAGUUAGGGUGCUUCUCCAGCGCCCGACCUCCCAACCCUUUGUCUAUGAUACCAUACAGUUGCUUCGGCGUGCCGAGGGGUCAGACCCUCGCCGGACUUCCGGUCGGGAGCGCGCACGCCGAUGGCCUCAUCAAACCAUUGAACCCAAACCAUGUCGUCUGAAAACUUGUGAUUACUAUAAUCAAAAACAAAACU